rnacentral:rRNA from 1 species
CGAAAUAGGGGUGUGUCUCUAUUCUCAGCCAAGCGAGAUGUAUUGGUUUCUUCCUCUCAUGAUUAGCGGCGGACGGGUGAGUAACACGUGGGCAACCUGCCUGUAAGACUGGGAUAACUUCGGGAAACCGGAGCUAAUACCGGAUAAUCCUUUUCCUCUCAUGAGGAAAAGCUGAAAGUCGGUUUACGCUGACACUUACAGAUGGGCCCGCGGCGCAUUAGCUAGUUGGUGAGGUAACGGCUCACCAAGGCGACGAUGCGUAGCCGACCUGAGAGGGUGAUCGGCCCCACUGGGACUGAGACACGGCCCAGACUCCUACGGGAGGCAGCAGUAGGGAAUCUUCCGCAAUGGACGAAAGUCUGACGGAACAACGCCGCGGGAGCGAAGAAGGCCUUCGGGUCGUAAAGCUCUGGUGGUAGGGAAAAACAAGUAUCGGAAUAACUGGCGGUACCUUGACGGUACCUAACCCGAAAGCCCCGGCUAACUACGUGCCAGCAGCCGCGGUAAUACGUAGGUGGCAAGCGGUGGCCGGAAUUAUUGGGCGGAAAGCGCGCGCAGGCGGUCCUUUAAGUCUGAUGUGAAAGCCCACGGCUCAACCGGGGAGGGUCAUUGGAAACUGGGGGACUUGAGUACCGAAGAGGAAAGCGGAAUUCCACGUGUAGCGGUGAAAUGCGUAGAGAUGGGGAGGGA